GAAGAGAAGGAAGUACCCAGCACCCCAGGAGUCAAGUGUUAGCUGACCCAAUUAUUCACAUGUUGAAGACAGGCAAUGGCAAAAAUUGGAAUGGAAAAAAAUAAAAGAGACCCAAAUCCUCUAUGACAGCCAGGAGGUAAUGAUGGAGCAGUGGUGAGAACCACUGAAUGCCACAGGCCUCAAAGGAAGAAAAAAGAGCUUUUGAAUGAGGCAAACUGCUGCAUGGAUAAGAGGCAGUCUGGCCGCAUGAGAAGGUUAAUCCUUGAGCAUCCUUCUCUUGGGAUUUUCUCUGGGAAAAUCCCAGUUUCACUUCCAGGAAGGAAAGGAAUAGAAGCAACAUCGUGUGAUCAGGCUGAAGGAGAGAUGAAUUAUUUAUAAUCGAGUGAGGACUUCAUAGAAUUAAACAGAAAGGAUUAGACAUGGGUUAUCAAGAGAUGACUGUCAAAAGGCAGGAAGCUUGGAAGAGAUAGUUGUAGCACUGAUGCUUAUAAAACACAUGUUGAUGAACUGUAGAGACUACAAACCCUGAUGCUGGCUGGAUUUGUACCAUGGAUGGUCAAGGAUCACAUAGCUAAAAAUGGAAUGCACAGCUCAGUGUUCUCAUUGGCAUGCCACUGCUCUCCCUGGUCAUAUGGAAAGCUGUUAGGAUGCAGAGUCUAAGCCCUGGUGGUUUCUGCUGAGCAGGCUGCCAGAAACAGAUGGUUUUCUUUUUGUUAGAGAUAAUCACGACUUCUCCCUCUAAAGAGCUUACUGUCCAUUUGAGUGGAGAAAACUGCUGUACUUGAGAUGGGAGAUUUCUUGUGCAAAUCACCUGUGUAGCCAGAGUUUCUCAGGUUGAGUAGGAUUUAGGCAUGCAAAGGAGGUGGCCUCACUCAGCGUCCUCCAAGAAGGGAAAACAGCAUGGAGACAAGCAGGGAGAUGGUGUGUGCAGGAAGAGUAA
rnacentral:lncRNA from 1 species